GCCCCAUACUACAUAAAGAACAAAAACACAAACCGAUCAAGCUGGACAAAGCAUCGGCGAGGACACAACUAGACAUACAUGCCGGUAAACUGGGGCUAAGCUCUAGCCUCUAGCAAUGGAUCGAGCAUCGCUUGCAGCUGCGGGCUGGUAGGUUCGGUCGGUUGUCUGCUAGUUGUUGGACCUAACCCAGGGCACCCACGACGGCCAGCUCCAGGGAGGAGGAUGCGAGGCAGGCGGCGGUCGCGAAACAAGGGGCCCGGCAGCGCCCUGGCGGUGUCGCUAAUCCCAGGUGCCCUGCCG
rnacentral:lncRNA from 7 species